GCCCUUAUAGCUCAGUGGUAGAGCGCAUCACUCGUAUAAUUACGUAAUGAUGAGGUCUGUUGUUCAAUCCAGCAUGAGGGCA